rnacentral:rRNA from 1 species
GAGCCUGAGAAACGGCUACCACAUCUAAGGAAGGCAGCAGGCGCGCAAAUUACCCAAUCCUAAUACAGGGAGGUAGUGACAAGAAAUAACAAUACAGGACUUUUUGGUUUUGUAAUUGGAAUGAGUUAAGUAUAAACCCCUUUACAAGUAUCAAUUGGAGGGCAAGUCUGGUGCCAGCAGCCGCGGUAAUUCCAGCUCCAAUAGCGUAUAUUAAAGUUGUUGCAGUUAAAAAGCUCGUAGUUGGAUUUCUGUUAAUAAUUUAUAUAAAAUAUUUUGAUGAAUAUUUAUAUAAUAUUAACAUAAUUCAUAUUACUAUAUAUUUUAGUAUAUGAAAUUUUACUUUGAGAAAAUUAGAGUGCUUAAAGCAGGCAUAUGCCUUGAAUACUCCAGCAUGGAAUAAUAUUAAAGAUUUUUAUCUUUCUUAUUGGUUCUAAGAUAAGAAUAAUGAUUAAUAGGGACAGUUGGGGGCAU